GAUGAACGCUGGCGGCGUGCCUAAUACAUGCAAGUCGAGCGAACGGACGAGAAGCUUGCUUCUCUGAUGUUAGCGGCGGACGGGUGAGUAACACGUGGAUAACCUACCUAUAAGACUGGGAUAACUUCGGGAAACCGGAGCCAAUACCGGAUAAUAUUUUGAACCGCAUGGUUCAAAAGUGAAAGACGGUCUUGCUGUCACUUAUAGAUGGAUCCGCGCUGCAUUAGCUAGUUGGUAAGGUAACGGCUUACCAAGGCAACGAUGCAUAGCCGACCUGAGAGGGUGAUCGGCCACACUGGAACUGAGACACGGUCCAGACUCCUACGGGAGGCAGCAGUAGGGAAUCUUCCGCAAUGGGCGAAAGCCUGACGGAGCAACGCCGCGUGAGUGAUGAAGGUCUUCGGAUCGUAAAACUCUGUUAUUAGGGAAGAACAUAUGUGUAAGUAACUGUGCACAUCUUGACGGUACCUAAUCAGAAAGCCACGGCUAACUACGUGC
rnacentral:rRNA from 1 species